UGUUUGACUCUUUGGGUUGUGAAGACAAGACCAACCUUGUGAACUUCAUAGGUAGUUAUUGCUAAGAGUAGAAGAUGGCACAUGGUAUCAAGUUCUUUGAGUUGAACACAGGGGUAUGUAAUGAUUCAUCCUACUCUUGUAUCUCCACUGCUGUUAAGGGUAGUGGAUGAAAGCUAUGGUGGUUAUAAGAAUGGUGAAUAGUGA